GUCACACUUGGGAACACUCCACUCAACCCAACAUAGUGAUCUGGAUCCAAACUGUAAAGUUUUCAAAGUUCUGUUUUGACUGAAGUUCUAUAAAUUACCUACCAAAUAAUAUAAUCAGGACACACAGGCCUUGAGCAGCGUCCCUCCCCCCACCUUUGCAAGGCCUGUUCUCUGGCUACAGCUGAGCUCUGAGGAGUUGAUAUGAGUGUGCGUGUUUACUGAGAAGAGUCCCUUUGCAAGGAGCAACCUGAAUUUGCAGCAUUCAGAUACAAAGCCUAGAGAACCUUGGCGGGGGAAGGGGAUACGAAAGAACAAUCCUUCAGCAAAUUCAUAAUGGAUCGCAUACAGAGCGAUGUCACUGGAAGAGGAGAAGCAACCUAAUGCUGAACCACAAGCCUGCCAAAAAGCAAAGCCAAGGGUCAAGGACUGAAGAGAUGAUCCUGCAGAGGGAGAGCCUGGAAAGCCAUCUGACCUCCUCUAGAGGAGGGAGUCCUCUGCCCAGUUCCCAGGCUUUGCCUGCAGCUCACCCAUUAUAUAGCCCGAGAGUUGCAUGCUCUAGUUCUUACACCAGCAUCACUGCGUAUGUGAGCCCAUAUGUUUAAUCCAGUAUUGCCAGGUUUUGCGUUAUCAGUAGCACAACUGAAGAUUGUUUUGUACAGAUAUCUGACUUGGCAAUUUACUACGUGAGGGCUCUGAAUAUCCCUCAGUGGAAUACAGGCAGUAGCAUUAACGUUGCCUGUAAAUUUUUGACAACUGAGGUAAGUUUCAGAAUUAUGAAGUUUUAAUAAAUUCAUUCGGUGAACAACACAA